rnacentral:sRNA from 1 species
CGAUGAGAAUGAUGUCGUCAUAAAUUAUUGGUGUGGUGAAUCCCCCUGUGCGGAGGGGCGGAAACAGCUUAAAUGGAAUCCUUAUGAUUCACUCGGACCGCAAGCCACGGUUGCUGACCAAAGGCUUACUGAGAGGCACUCAGCACCACACCCACUUUUGAGCCCACGUUAACGCGUGGGCUUUUCUA